rnacentral:lncRNA from 1 species
AAAGAAAGAAGAAAAUAAGCAUUUAUCCAGAGCCUUCUAUGUGCCAGACACUGUGCCAAGAACCUCACAAUAUGAUUUCAUUUGAUCUUCUUCCUGAGGGUGACUUUCAUUCUUAUGUCCAUUUUACAGAUGAGGAAACUGAGGCAAACAGGGUUAAGUGACUUUAAGUGCCCAGGGUCACACAGCUAGUGUCUCAGGCCAGAUUUGGACCUCAGGAAGGGGAGUUUUCCUGACUCCAAGCCCUGCACUGUGCACUAUGGUGCCCUCUAGCACCCCAUAAGUUCAUCAUCUGUCAGGUGAGUGGCCAGUUUUACCUGUGUUCUCUCAGUUUAUCACUGGUUAUAAAGACUUUUCAAGUGGUUUCCUGUGUUGUCAUUGUAUAAAUUUCUCCAAAAGUAUUUUUUCUUAUGCACAGACCUGAUGUGACUCCUUUACGUCCCCUACUACAGUGGUCACCUAUUAACAUCUAGGGUUACAGACAAACUCUUUAAGGCUUUAAAACCCUUCACCACCUCAUUGGCCAUUACUGACCCUCCAGCACGUGGCAUGAUGAGAAGAAGAUACACUUCUAUGAUAAAAUGAAGGAUUGAGCAUUCUGAUUCCAGGGUAAGAAGCCAUUAUUCCUCCCGCCUUUCACUGGAAAGAUGCAGUCAGUCAGUCAACAUCCACAAGAACCCUGCUACAGUCUUUGGGAUGGCUCAAGUGACCAGAGGGCUCUGGAAAGUCAUCUCUGUGCCACAAACUGGGCCAGGUUUCACUCAAUUCAAAGGUUCUGAAUCUAGACCCAGUGAAGGACUUAACAGUGUGUGGAGGUGGCCUGUGGACCAGCCAAACAAAGUGCCAAGAUCGUACCACAAGAUAAGCUGCCCUCCCUCUGUAAGCAAGUAA